rnacentral:rRNA from 1 species
GUGAGGAAUAUUGGACAAUGGGCGCAAGCCUGAUCCAGCCAUGCCGCGUGCAGGAAGACGCAUCUAUGGUGUGUAAACUGCUUUUGUACGGGAAGAAACACUCCCUCGUGAGGGAGCUUGACGGUACCGUAAGAAUAAGGAUCGGCUAACUCCGUGCCAGCAGCCGCGGUAAUACGGAGGAUCCAAGCGUUAUCCGGAAUCAUUUGGUUUAAAGGGUCCGUAGGCGGUUUAAUAAGUCAGUGGUGAAAGCCCAUCGCUCAACGAUGGAACGGCCAUUGAUACUGUUAGACUUGAAUUACAAGGAAGUAACUAGAAUAUGUAGUGUAGCGGUGAAAUGCUUAGAUAUUAGGAAGAACACCAGUGGCGAAGGCGACUUUCUGGACGAAAACUGACGCUGAGGCGCGAAAGCCAGGGGAGCGAACGGGAUUAGAAACCCCUGUAGUCC